UUUGCAUUAAAAGAUCGCAAGAGUUCGUCCAGUGUGUUGCCUAUAAAGACGUCACCCAAUUGUUAAUUUAUAUUCAUUUCAGAAUAUGUGUAACCAAAAACAGUGAAAUCGGUUCGUUCAUACCUGAAUUUGCAAUUUGUGGACUUUUUUUUGGAAUAGGCGUAACGUUUUUUUUGUCAACCGGAAAAUUUACUUCGGAAUAUUAUUUGCGUAUGGGUGUAACAUCAUUUGGUGGUAUUAUGACUUUUUCUGCACUGAUAUGGUCAGGACAGACCACCGAAACUAUGACAAGCGAAUUAGUAAAGGCCCUUAAUGAAGUAAGAUGGUACAAUUUCAAUCAAUCCAAUAAAAAACUGUACCUAACUUUGGUAAUGAACAUAAUGAAAGAACGCAAAAUUAAAUUUACUGAAAACUAUUCCAUGAAUUAUCGACUUGGGCUGGCUAUUGUAAGAAAUAUUUAUUCGGUCAUAUCAGUAGUUGUGUCAAAACGUCGUCACUAAUCAAGUGAAAAUUGAAAAGAAAAAAGUUGUGAGAAUGUAUCAAACCAAUGUCGAAAAAUAAAUGUUUGUUUUUUUUACACUCUUAUAACUCGAAAACUAUAACUACUGCACUACAUCUACAACUGCAGCACAGUUUCAGUACAAAAAUGAAUUACUUCCUAGACUGUCAACAUUAUUCUCAUCGUAGAUCGUAAGCUUUUACUAAAAAAAUUCGUUCCGAAUAUUUUCUUCAAAAAACGCUUAACGAGCUCGUUAAAAUCGAAUUAAAUACCUUAAUAGAAUAAACAUGAGUAAUGACUUAG